AUCUUUUUUUUUUCUGACUUGUAAUCUCAAUCUUUUUAAUUUUUAUAUUUAAAAUUAUGUUUAAAAUAUUCAUUAGCUCUAACAGUUAAAAUAUCAUUCUGUUUAAAAUAUUUAUUAUCUUUAACAGUUUCAGAUUAUUCUUAAUCUUAUUCAGUUCAAUAGUUUGAACUCAAAUGCUUAAGAGAAUAGGUCUAUGUCUGAUCAGUCGAAUCAAUUGGUUCAAUCUGAUUUUUAAAUCAUUGAUACUUAUUUAAUCAAAAUGAAUAAUAAAAGUUAAGAAGCUAAUUUUAAACCGAAAGGUAAGGAAGUAAAAUUAAAAAAAUUGACUAAAAAUUAAAAAAAUUUAAAGG
rnacentral:lncRNA from 1 species